AUUGAACGCUGGCGGCAUGCUUUACACAUGCAAGUCGAACGGUAACAGGCCGCAAGGUGCUGACGAGUGGCGAACGGGUGAGUAAUGCAUCGGAACGUGCCCAGUCGUGGGGGAUAACUACUCGAAAGAGUAGCUAAUAACGCAUACGAUCUAUGGAUGAAAGCGGGGGACCGUAAGGCCUCGCGCGAUUGGAGCGGCCGAUGUCAGAGUAGGUAGUUGGUGGGGUAAAGGCUCACCAAGCCAACGAUCGGUAGCUGGUCUGAGAGGACGACCAGCCACACUGGGACUGAGACACGGCCCAGACUCCUCCGGGAGGCAGCAGUGGGGAAUUUUGGACAAUGGGCGCAAGCCUGAUCCAGCAAUGCCGCGUGCAGGAAGAAGGCCUUCGGGUUGUAAACUGCUUUUGUACGGAACGAAACGGCUCUGGUUAAUACCCGGGGCUAAUGACGGUACCGUAAGAAUAAGCACCGGCUAACUACGUG
rnacentral:rRNA from 1 species